AAAGUCGUAACAAGGUUUCCGUAGGUGAACCUGCGGAAGGAUCAUUACUGAAUAAUCCAACAGAUCGGGUUUAUUUUCAACUCGUAUCCACCCUUUGUGAAUUGUGUUUUUUUGGGCUUGAGCGCGAUUCUUCCAGGGCUUUUGCCAGGCGUUUUUUAAAAAGCCUAGGUAGAGUUUUGGCUGAGAGUUUAGCCUCAAGAACAAGCCUGUUUAUCAAAUCAUUUGGCUGAAAAUUUUGAUUUACCAAAAACAAAAAUCAAAUACAACUUUCAACAACGGAUCUCUUGGCUCCU
rnacentral:misc_RNA from 1 species